ACGUCCCUUGAUCUGCUGGCAAUGCUCCUACUUAUACAGCCCAAAAUUCCAUUAGCCUUCUUAGCAACAAGGGCACACUGUUGACUCAUACCCAGCUUCUCAUCCACUGUACAGGAAGAGCCCCUGUGUGGCAAUACCUCAGAGCAGGAUGAUGACCUGUUAUAUUAUUUCUUUUCUUUCUAUAUGGGGUGAUAUGACGGGGUGUACCUGGCCCUUUGAGGCCCCCUGCUGGAGGCCUUGCGAUGCUACCUUAUCCUGUGCCAGGUAAGGGGGGUCCUCUGGGCCUACCUAGAAAGACUGCAGAGAAGCAGCCAAUCAGCGUGCAGCAGAUUCAAAUAAAAGGAGUUGCAGGGCCUGAGCAGCUCAGUUGCUGGCUGGGACCAGAUGGGCUAGGAGACAGCAAAACUCUCCAAGCAAGGAAGCCUGGGAGAGACCGUGCUCAAGCAGGGAUAGGACAGAGACAACCCAAGGAUUAUAAGCCUAAGGUAACAUGUGAGGGUGGUGGGACCGAGUGGGAAGCAGCAAAGGGAAUGCAGCAGCAACUAUUCAGGGAAGCAGUACAUGGCCACUGGUGCAGGAUCCCUGAGUUGAGACCUGGAGUAGUGGGCAGGCCUGGAGUAGUGGGCAGACCGCCGCCACCAGUGCUGGAAAGGCCAAAGCCCUGGAAAGGGGACAUGGCUAAUUUAAAAGCCCAACAAAAAAGGCUAGAUUUAAAAGGGCCCAGAGACAGGACUGAAGACCCCAGAGAAGGCCAACCAUGUGUUGAACCUUGAUACCCCAAAAGGGCACUAAACUUGGGAGGUGACCUGGAUGGAGAACUGGGGCAAUGAGAACUGGUGAAAACAAAGAGUUUCAAGGGAGAAAGCCCUGGGGGCAGUGCUCUAUAACAGGGCAGGGACUCUAUAACAGUUAGCCUAGAAGGGGUUCAUCCGUUGUUGACUGAGUGACUUAGCCGGAGGGCUGAGCCACUUAAGAUCCACCUGAUGAGGUUAUCAACCUACCGGGGGCACCAGGUGAAAAAGAAAACUGCAGCACCACACUCAGCUGACAGGAGGCACUCACAAGAGUGGGUUCAUCGAUUCCAAGGCCUGAAGGGACCAUUGUGAUUAUCUAGUCUGACCUCCUGUGUAACACAGGCCAUAGAACUUCCCAAAAAUAGAUCCCGGAGCAGAUCUUUUUAGACAAACAUCCAAUCUUGAUUUUAAAAUUGUAAGUGAUGGAGAAUCCAUCAAAAACUUUGGUAGAUUGUUCAAAUCGCUAAUUACUCUCACUUUAAAACAUACUUUAUUUCCAGUCUUAAUUUUCAUACCUUCAACUUCCAGCGAUUGGAUUGUGUUAUACCUUUUUCUGCUAGAGUGAAGAGCCCAUCAUCAACUAUUUGUUCCCCAUGUAGGUACUUACAGACUAACGUUCUCUUUAUUAAGCUAAAUUAUUAAUUUCCUUGAAUCUUACUAUAAGGCAUGUUGGCUAAUAAUUCUUUUGGCUCUUCUAUGAACCCUCUCCAAUUUAUUAACAUCCUUCUUGAAGCGUGGAUACUAGAACUGGACAAACAAUUCCAGCAGCAGUUGCACCAGUACCAAAUACAGAGAUACAAUAACUGCUCUAAUCCUACCGAGUUUCCCCUGUUUAUACCCUGUUCACAGUAGUCCUUUUGGCCACAGCAUUGUACUGGGAGCUGAUGUUCAGCUGAUUAUCCACCACGGCCCCCAGAUCUUUUUCAGAGUCACUGCUUCCCAGGAUAGAGGUCCCCAUCCUGUAAGUAUGGCCUACGUUCUUUGUUCCUAGCGAUGUAUAUUUACUUAUAGCAGUAUUAAAACAUACACUGUUAGCUUUGCACAGCUUACCAAGCAAUUCAGAUCGCUCUAUAUCAGUGUGUGACGCUUUCUCAGUGUGCAGAGCGGUAAGUCACUCUGUUACCCAUUUGCCUCAGCAUAAAAGGGAACUGCUGGAGCUAAACUGAGUCACAACUCUUUGUCACUCCAGUUUGCUAGUCAGCCCCACAGAGUCCUCAGGACUCCACCAGUCCUAACUUUGCCUUGCAGGUUAAUCCUUGGUGCAUUCAGCUCCCAGACUCUCCAGAAGCAUCUCCCUGCAGCAUCCAGCCCCUGUCACUGGACACCCACAGAAAUGACCAAGUCUGCUGUCUCCAAAGAGACAGGAUACACAGGCGCCUGUUGGCUCAGCUGAGGAUUCACACUUUAUUUCAGCACACUGCAUUGGGAUGAACUUACAAUGCAAGGAAACAUAAGUUUAUCAAUAAAGAACAGAAAUUCAACUGAUACUAAGCAAUGGUAACAGAGAGAGAGAAAUAGUUAAAAUUAAACUAAAGGAUAACAUGCUUCUAAGUGACUAAAACUUAACUAACUAAAAUCCUUGGCUAAAAUAAGAUUCUUACCUAAAACAGCCUUUCAGUGUCACCCACCCACAUGUUAGGGGAUCCACUGUGCAAAAAUACAAAGAGCACUGGCCUCUUUGUCCCCUAAGUGAUGGGUAAUCAAAGGUCAUUUUGCUGCCCCUUAUAUUCCCCAAAGUUUAUUGUCUCUGACAUCAGAAUCAGGAUGAAUCCCUGGGGUUCAGACUCCAGUGUCUUCCCAGGCUGAUUUCACAUCCUCAUGUUAAUUUGUUGCCCCUGUGUAUCUCCAAUGCAAAUGAACUGCCUACUGUCUCUGGCAUCACCUUGCUCAAUUCCCAUUAGAGACAUGGGGAUAACUAUAUUCCCUCUUGUCUGGAAGACAACUUGUUUCUCCCUUAGUUUGGUUACAGACUUAAAGCAUAAUAUCAGUAAUUCCUCAUACAGUGUAAUAAAUACAUUUUUCAAUUAUAUUAAUGGCCAAUGUGUCACCAGCUUUCAUUUGGUACUCAUACAACAUUCUUUAUAGAUUGAUAUCAUGACAGCAAUGUGAUAGAUGUAAUGAGUUUGUCAAGCUUGAUAGGAGUUGCUGAGUAGUGAAAUACCAGUGGGCCUCUGUGUCACACAGUGACCAUAGGAUUAGAUAGGUAAAUAAAAGGGUUUUAGCAGCCAUGGGAAGACCUUGGAAAUAAUGUGCUUAAAAGUUUAAAAAAAAUGUAACUGGAGAGAAGUUGUAAAAAUGCUGAGCUCAGAAUGUGGAUGAUAAGAAAAGAGGGGCCUCUAAUUAUCCCGGAUGGUUUCAACUAGUUUGAACAAUAAAGAAGGGUUGUGCAUGUUGAGUCAGUAGUAACUUUAACAUACCAAUGUUACCUUGGAGCUGUACCUGGUUAUACACAAGCUUCAGCUGAAGGAGUAUUGGUCAGCAGCUAGGAAGAAGUAUGGUAAAGAUUUAAAAAAUAAAAUAAAAAAAGACUUGGAAAAAGGGAGCCCAGUCAGAAAUCUUAUCUACUUCAGGCCUAAGAACAGGGUCUAGCCCUAAACUGCUAAAGUUAGUAAUUGGCAAUGACAUAACUUUCUUGUUAAAGGGUAGAAAAGGGUGAGCUCUUAAAUGGCUCAUCACUAGUACCUGGCUGACCAAAUUGGAGUCAGUCAGCAUAGGUUUGACCACCCAUGGGUCUCAUCCUUUGUAAGUAUUUGAUCAUUACUUAUAAACGUUUGUUGUUGUAUAGCUGUAGUAACUGCUUAUCAUUUAGGCUUUUAAACAUGUUUAGAGCAAUUACAUACAUAUUUGAAUUUAAUGAAGGAAUUUAUGGUUAAAUCAGUGUCUGGCAGGACCCUGUAUUAGUAUCCACAACAAUUCCAGUAGUGACCUGUCCUCUUCAUUAUUUACCACUCACCCAAUUUUUAUGUCAUUCAAAAACUUUCAGUGUUUUUUUUUAUUAUUAUUAUUCCAGGUCAUUGAUGACAAUGCCUAAUGUAGGACCAAGAACAGAUCCCUGUUGGACCCCACUAGAAACACACCCAUUCAAUGAUGAUUACAUUUUGAGACCUGUCAGUUAGCCAGAGUUUAAACCAUUUAAUGUGUGCCAUGUUAAUUUUAUAUCAUUCUAGUUUUUAAAUCAAAUUGUUACCAAGUCAAAUGCCUUACAGAAGUCUAUUACCUCAACACAACUAUAUUUAUCAAUUAAACUUGUAAUCUCAUCUAAAAAAAGAUAUUAGUUUGACAGCAUCUAGUUUCCACAUCAAGCCCUGUAUCAGCUACUCCAUUAUCUUGCCUAAGACCAAUGUCUUACUGACAAACCUAUAGUUACCCAGGUCAUCUCAUUUACUCUUUUUAAAUAUGGGCACAUUACCUUUCUUCCAGUCUUCUGGAACUUCCCAAGUGUUCCAAGACAUAUUGAAAAUCAACAUUAAUGGCCCAGCAAGCUCUUCUGCCAACUCUUCUAAAGCUCUUGGAUGAAAGUGGUGCUUAAGACUGGAACAUCCCAGAAGAAUUGUGUUCAACCUUUUUACCAACUUGUGAUCUCUUAAUGAACUUUAAAAUAUGAAAGUUGAAAUUAUAUUACUAUCAAUGUUUUUACCUCCAUUCUUCCCUUAAUGGUGUUCCCCACAAUACCCCAAAACCAGAAGUGUAAGUAUCAGGAUAGGAGCACUUUUCUGGAUCUAGGGAUGUGCAUCUGACUACCAUGCUCAAGAAGGAACAACCCCACCUAGGGUGACCAGAUGUCUCGAUUUUAUAGGGACAGUCCUGAUUUUUGGGUCUUUUUCUUAUAUAGGCUCCUAUUACCCCCCAACCCCUGUCUCAAUUUUUCACACUUGCUGUCUGGUCACCCUACCGCCACCACUCUGACAAUCCCUUACGGUAGCUACUAGUGAGGUGGGAAAGAUUACACGGUGCUCCUUUAAAGUUUCCUACAAUCCCUUUUCCAAACAUUUUUGUUCCUUCAAUGCCCCCUUCUGUUUUGGUUAAGGGCUUUUAUAUCUCUUUUUUAUAUAAACCUUUUCAUUAUCCUUGCCCUAAGUAUCCUGUUCAUGUUGUUUCUCUCCCCCACCCCACCCCUUCUUAAAAUAUAACAUCCUAUUUGUUCCCUUCAACUUCCCUUUGGAUUUGAUAGAUUCAGGGGUAUAAGAGCCAAAAUUGACCCAUUUUGGGGAGAGAAUGUUUGACAAAAAAUAAAGUUUCUUUUUAAGUUGUC